CACAUCCCUUCGCGGCCCCGAGCGUCCGGCCUCCGCGCCCGCGCCGCCCGGCGCCCCGGCCUUGACCCCGGGCCCGCGCCCUACCCGCUGACGCCGGCCGCUCUGCGCCCAGGCACCAGCCCGCACCCCGGACGCGAGGUCUGACCCAUGACCCCGGGGACGCCCAGUGCCCAGUCCUUGGGAAGAACCAGGCCCCGGGAGAGGAGCUUCUUCAGGGCGCGUCCCAGACUCUGCGUCUCGAGUGAACGCCUACUGUGUGCCUGGCUCUGAGCACGGGACUGUCGCCGCCACGGCAUCCUUAGGAACCUUCCCACUAACCCAGUGGGAAGGCACAAUGGCUGUUACCAGCGAUCGCUCUUCCCUCCCCAGUCAAUGCCAACUCCCCCCCGCCCCGCCUCAGAGACCCCGCUGUCUUUAGAUACAGGCCACCCCAGAGCCCUGCUCUGCCCCAAGAUCAAUUACUGCGCACCCGGUUCCCCUGGGGUCCUUCAGUUAAUCCUCCUCACCCCGAAGUCUGGAACCUGCCUUACACAUGGAAGCGGUUAGCUACUUCGCUUCAGCAAAAGUUCACUUUCGGAACCAAGUUGGGAAUUACUAAUGUAGACAGUGAUUCCUUAUCAUCACACACGUUUUUUAAAAACUGCGGACAGGCCGAAAGAGGAGGGGCCGCCACAAAGCCCGCCACGUCUUCCUAAAUUGGUUUACCACCUGAAGGCAUUGGUGCCCCAUCCCGGCUACUUAAAUGGGGGCCUGCCCUCUACUCCCCUCCCUCCAAAGUGUGGAGCCAGAAGCCACUUCUCCAUCCAGCUGUGAACUAAAUUUGGAUAAUAAUACACAUCCCUCAGGGUUGAUGUGAAGUUUAAAGUGCCGCUACUGGGGAUUAUGGAGGUAAUUAGAGACCCCCACCCCCACCCCCAGUCCUCAGGCUGCGCGGGAAUCGCAGCGGCAGUAACCUCCACCUCACCGGGAUGCUUUACACCUUACUUUAAGAGUUUGCAAAACAAUGUCCAAUACCUGCCAUUCAUGCAUUCGUUAAUUCGAUUAAGUACUGAGAACGUAUUUUGUGUCAUGCAUCGAUUUGGGUGCUGGAUAUGAAACAGCCAAGAGAACAGGCAGAAAUCUCUGCCCUCCUGGAGUUUGCAGUCUCGUGGGGGAAAGAAAGACAAACGGGAGAAUGUGUCAGAGGGUCUCCAUGCGGUGGAGAAAAAUAAGGCGGAGAAGGUGAAUAGGAAGUGUGAGAUAAGAAUGAGGCUCAAAUACAAGAGAAGGCCUCUAUGAGAAAGUAACAUUUAAAGCCUGAAGAAAUUGAGGGAAAAAGCCGUGUGGAUGUCUGGGGAAGAACUGCGCCGAGCAUGAGGAAUAGCAAGUGCAAAGGCUAGGGGUAGGAGUGUGUCCAAAAUAGUCAACACAGAGCGAGUGUGAGUUUGGAGUAGAAUGGGUGAAGUGGAAAGUAACAGGAGAUGAAGCUGGAAAAAUGAUGAUGCUUAUGAUGCUUCUGGUCCCAAAACAAAGCAUUACGGAUGUAUGAGGAUUUCCCAAAGAAAAGAUGUAAGGAAAGGUGCAGAGACCCUCCCCCACACACCACCUUGUUGUUCCAUCCUUCUCUGUGUCUUUGGGCAAGGACUCUCCGUUCUGUGGGGACCACCAGGUGAAAUUAAAGUCUACACUCCUCCAAGAGCUGAUCUUGGGGCGGCCCCCUCUCCAUGCCCCUCCACAGCGUGCCAUUCUCAUAGAACACACUAGGACCUUUGUCCUCUGGAGCUGUUCAAUGCAGCAGCUCUGACCUCAUCUUUCUCCAGAAGCCUCCACCUUCUCUCCCCUCUCUCCUCCUGCGCUUUGUGUGUCCUGUUCUUCCACUUCAGUGACCUGUCUCCUCCCCAAUCUGGCUCAGAGAGGUGUAGCAGCAGCUGCUGCUGCUGCUAUUGCUUCUUCUUCUGUUAAAGGUUUUUUAUUUUUUUCCAAUGACAAAAUAAAGCUAUGCUCAUUCUGAAAACAUGAACAAUAAAAAUGCUCAAAAAAUAAAA
rnacentral:antisense_RNA from 1 species